rnacentral:rRNA from 1 species
UACGUAGGGUGCAAGCGUUGUCCGGAAUUAUUGGGCGUAAAGAGCUCGUAGGCGGUCUGUCACGUUGGCUGUGAAAACCCGAGGCUCAACCUCGGGCCUGCAGUCGAUACGGGCAGACUAGAGUUCGGUAGGGGAGACUGGAAUUCCUGGUGUAGCGGUGAAAUGCGCAGAUAUCAGGAGGAACACCCGUGGCGAAGGCGGCUCUCUGGGACGGUACUGACGCUGAGACGCGAAAGCGUGGGGAGCGAACAGG